UUUAAAUAAACAAUUUAAUUUUUAUACUUUUUAUCUUCUUUUAAUUAUUUACAAUAGUUUCAUUAACUUUCAAAUACAAAUUUUAAACAUUACAUUCAAAUUUCAAAUGGUGUAAUUAAUGGAAAAGUUUGACAAUAAAUAUUUUUAAAUGUUUUCGCUAUAAAUUUUUGUCUCUGAUUAUUUAUUAAAAAUAUAUCAUAUUUUACAAUAAAAGAAUUUUGCUAUGAAUUUAUAACAAUUAAUUGCAAAUUGACUUUCUCUGCAAAUAUGAAACAGGCGUUGACUUUAUGUCUGCAGAUUCGAGGACGUCACAAAUAUAUAUCUUACUGAAACUAACAUAAAAAAUUUUGGGAAAGUAUGACUACUUUUUUGUUUCUCCCAUCUUUAAAUUUUGAUUGCAUCUAUGACUAUGUUUCCAUCGAGGGUUCAAAUCGGGUCAGAGUCGAGUUAGAGUCGGGUUGGGGUGAGCGCUUUUACGGGGGAAACACCAAAGGUUUAGUUGAAUUCUACCCUACAAAAUUUUAGGGUAGCGUUCAAUUGGGUUCGGUGGAAACGACAAGAGUCGAGUUCGUGUUGCCAACAUAACAAAUCCAAAUUGCAUUGUGUAUCACGUGUUGUAUUAAUCGGUGUAGAAGAGAAUAUGGUAGUUGACUUUGUGCAGUUGGUAAUGUUCAACCCUGCCGCAACUCCAACCCGCGACUCAAACCCGACUCUAACCCGACUCUGACCCGAUUUGAACCCUCGAUGGAAACUUAGUCUAUGAGGUGUGAUGUGAAUUGGUGCCCCUGGAAUGCUGGCUGCCCUGCUUAUCAGUGCGCGUCUGAAAAUUAGACUUUAAACUUUUCCAUUAAUUACACCAUUUGAAAUUUGAAUGUAAUGUUUAAAAUUUGUAUUUGAAAGUUAAUGAAACUAUUGUAAAUAAUUAAAAGAAGAUAAAAAGUAUAAAAAUUAAAUUGUUUAUUUAAAAUACACAUCACAAUUCUUUCGAUUCUAGCGCCAUCUACUACGAGAGGGAGUACGCGUCCUCUUUUCUGGCGCCAUAAUUAAAAAAACAAUGAUCGGAAAAUUUGAAAUUCUUAUAUCUUGUUAGGCUCUUGUUUCAUGUCGUUUCAUCUACUUUUCGUUAUAAGUG